UACGGGGGGGGCAAGCGUUGUUCGGAAUUACUGGGCGUAAAGGGCUCGUAGGCGGCCAACUAAGUCAGACGUGAAAUCCCUCGGCUUAACCGGGGAACUGCGUCUGAUACUGGAUGGCUAGAGGUUGGGAGAGGGAUGCGGAAUUCCAGGUGUAGCGGUGAAAUGCGUAGAUAUUCGCAAGAACACCAGUGGCGAAGGCGGCUCACUGGCCCGGUACUGACGCUGAGGUGCGAAAGCGUGGGGAGCAAACAGG
rnacentral:rRNA from 1 species